AUGUAAAGGGCAAACCGGCUGUGAGGCCGGGACGCAAAACUACAGGAUCUUGCCGGAGAUUAGCGAUACGGCAAGACAGCCAGCUGCCA
rnacentral:ncRNA from 1 species